AGCGAACGCUGGCGGCAGGCCUAACACAUGCAAGUCGAACGAACCUUUCGGGGUUAGUGGCGGACGGGUGAGUAACACGUGGGAACGUGCCUUUAGGUUCGGAAUAACUCAGGGAAACUUGUGCUAAUACCGAAUGUGCCCUUCGGGGGAAAGAUUUAUCGCCUUUAGAGCGGCCCGCGUCUGAUUAGCUAGUUGGUUGAGGUAAUGGCUCACCAAGGCGACGAUCAGUAGCUGGUCUGAGAGGAUGAUCAGCCACAUUGGGACUGAGACACGGCCCAAACUCCCACGGGAGGCCGCAGUGGGGAAUCCUGCGGCAUGGGCCAAAGGCUGACCGCGCCAUGCCGCGUGAAUGAUGAAGGUCUUAAGAUUGUAAAAUUCUUUCACCGGGGACGAUAAUGACGGUACCCGGAGAAGAAGCCCCGGCUAACUUCGUG
rnacentral:rRNA from 1 species